rnacentral:rRNA from 1 species
AUUGAACGCUGGCGGCAGGCCUUACACAUGCAAGUCGAGCGGAGCGGCGGACGGGUGAGUAAUGCCUCGGAAUCUGCCCGGUAGCGGGGGAUAACGUCCGGAAACGGGCGCUAAUACCGCAUACUAUUAGAUGGGCCUAGGUCGGAUUAGCUAGUUGGUGGGGUAACGGCUUACCAAGGCGACGAUCCGUAACUGGUCUGAGAGGAUGAUCAGUCACACUGGAACUGAGACACGGUCCAGACUCCUACGGGAGGCAGCAGUGGGGAAUAUUGGACAAUGGGCGAAAGCCUGAUCCAGCCAUGCCGCGUGUGUGAAGAAGGUCUUCGGAUUGUAAAGCACUUUUAGUUGGGAAGCGGUACCAACAGAAUAAGCACCGGCUAACUACGUGCCAGCCGCCGCGGUAAUAC